AUACAAUUUACUGUGCGCGGAAAGGAGCGUUUGCAGGCUAGUUUACUAGAUGGCGCCACCGUAUCAACAUCAACACUCGCGAGUACGCGUGUGCGU
rnacentral:lncRNA from 1 species